AACUUAACACGCGUCCUCUUGCCUGGUGGAGGAAGCUGGGCUGAGCAGCUGCCUCCCCGCCAGAGCUGAGGCUAGCAUGGGGAUUCCCUCUGUCUUCCCUUCAGGUUGUGGCUGUGAUGCCUGUGAAAAUGUGCUCUAAAGAUGCUUCCGCUGAGGCAGUCCUCCAAAAUAUAGAUUCCGACGUGAAAGGGUUUCCCCGUCCCCUCCUGAAAGCAGAUGUGGAUUGAAACCAGGGGUGGUCUAUUGAUCACAGAUGAUUCACUGGGACUGCUCCCUCUCUGAUCAGGUACUGAAUUUACUUUUGUUUAGGAAUGUCUGCAAGCUUCCUAAGUGCAGAAACAACCUGAAGAUUCUCCUUGGAGGACUUUUACAAUGAGUUUUGUUCACUUCAGUCUAAAAGGAUGGACUGUCACUCUCCUCAAGGCUUCUCAGCACUUAACUUAGCUAUCUUCGAUGCAAAUUUCAGCAAGAUUUUUACUGAGAGUCAAUGUGGGCAGAAGCAUGUGGUAGGUGUUAUCAGGGCUUAUAAAAUGAAUAAUGCAUGCCCAUAAUAUAUAUGAGUCAAGAGUCAAGACAGAUGAAGCAGUUCAAGAAAAAACUCAGAAAGAAGCGUAAUAGCACACAUGCAAUAAUACAUUCUAGCAAAGACAGAGUCUCACAGAUAUUCAAAGACCCACUCUUAGAAUUGAAAGUCACCACAGAGGCCACGUAAUUCAGAGCCUGCAUACCAGUGGCCUAGUGUUUGAAUGCAACUGGCAAGCAUAUUUGGUUUG